UAGGGAAUCUUCCGCAAUGGACGCAAGUCUGACGGAGCAACGCCGCGUGAGUGAAGAAGGAUUUCGGUUCGUAAAACUCUGUUGUUAGAGAAGAACAGCGCAUAGAGUAACUGUUAUGCGUGUGACGGUAUCUAACCAGAAAGCCACGGCUAACUACGUGCCAGCAGCCGCGGUAAUACGUAGGUGGCAAGCGUUGUCCGGAUUUAUUGGGCGUAAAGCGAGCGCAGGCGGUCAAUUAAGUCUGAUGUGAAAGCCCCCGGCUCAACCGGGGAGGGUCAUUGGAAACUGGUUGACUUGAAUGCAGAAGAGGAGAGUGGAAUUCCAUGUGUAGCGGUGAAAUGCGUAGAUAUAUGGAGGAACACCAGUGGCGAAGGCGACUCUCUGGUCUGUAACUGACGCUGAGGCUCGAAAGCGUGGGUAGCAAACAGG
rnacentral:rRNA from 1 species